rnacentral:rRNA from 1 species
AACGCUAGCUACAGGCUUAACACAUGCAAGUCGAGGGGCAGCAUGGUCUUAGCUUGCUAAGUUUGAUGGCGACCGGCGCACGGGUGAGUAACACGUAUCCAACCUGCCGAUGACUCGGGGAUAGCCUUUCGAAAGAAAGAUUAAUACCCGAUGGCAUAGUUCUUCCGCAUGGUAGAACUAUUAAAGGAUUUCGGUCAUCGAUGGGGAUGCGUUCCAUUAGGUUGUUGGCGGGGUAACGGCCCACCAAGCCUUCGAUGGAUAGGGGUUCUGAGAGGAAGGUCCCCCACAUUGGAACUGAGACACGGUCCAAACUCCUACGGGAGGCAGCAGUGAGGAAUAUUGGUCAAUGGACGGGAGUCUGAACCAGCCAAGUAGCGUGAAGGAUGACUGCCCUAUGGGUUGUAAACUUCUUUUAUACGGGAAUAAAGUGAGGCACGUGUGCCUUUUUGUAUGUACCGUAUGAAUAAGGAUCGGCUAACUCCGUGCCAGCAGCCGCGGUAAUACGGAGGAUCCGAGCGUUAUCCGGAUUUAUUGGGUUUAAAGGGAGCGUAGGCGGACGCUUAAGUCAGUUGUGAAAGUUUGCGGCUCAACCGUAAAAUUGCAGUUGAUACUGGGUGUCUUGAGUACAGUAGAGGCAGGCGGAAUUCGUGGUGUAGCGGUGAAAUGCUUAGAUAUCACGAAGAACUCCGAUUG